CUCCAGCAUGGACCUGGCAUACAGUUGGCAGUCCAUAUAGGUUAAACUCAUCUCUGAAUCAAUGGAUGGAUAUAGAUGUAGCCCAGGAGAAGGUAUUCCUUGGCCUUUUAAGCCGUCCUUGUGACAAGGAACAAUCCCACUGCCUCUACGUUUAGCCAUCAAAAGCACCCAUACAUCAAGACGUGACCUAAUGGAGUCAAAGAGACCAGGAUAUGAGAUUAAACUGGCUGUGCAGCCUUGAUUCCAUGGACGUCCCUGGUGGUCCAGUGGUUAACACUCUGCUUUCCAAUGCAGUAGGUGUGGAUUCAGUCCCUGGUCUGGGAACUAAGAUCCCAUAUGCUUCAGGGUAUCACAAAAAAAUAAAUUUUUUUAAAAGGGUCAUCUACCACAGAUUUCAGGAUAUACCUUGAUGGAGCAGGAAAGGGCAGGGAACUAGAAUGGUGAUCAGUUCAGUUCAGUCGCUCAGUCGUGUCUGAGUCUUUGUGACCCUGUGAACCACAGCACGCCAGGCCUCCCAGUCCAUCACUAACUCCAGGAGUCUACCCAAACCCAUGUCCAUCGAGUCAGUGAUGCCAUCCAACCAUCUCAUCCUCUGUCAUCCCCUUCUCCUCCUGUCCCCAAUCUUUCCCAGCAUCAGGGUCUUUUCAAAUUAGUCAGCUCUUCUCAUCAGAUGGCCAAAGUAUUGGAGUUUCAGCUUCAACAUCAGUCCCUCCAAUGAACACCCAGGACAGAUCUCCUUUUGGAUGGACUGGUUGGAUCUCCUUGCAGUCCAAGGGACUCGCAAGAGUCUUCUCCAACACCACAGUUCAAAAGCAUCAAUUCUUCGGUGCUCAGCCUUCUUUAUAGUCCAACUCUCACAUCUAUACAUGACUUCUGGAAAACCAUAGCCUUGACUAGACAGACCUUAGUCGGCAAAGUAAUGUCUCUGCUUUUUAAUAUGCUCUCUAGGUUGGUCAUAACUUUCCUUCCAAGGAGCAAGUGUCUUUUAAUUUCAUGACUGCAAUCACCAACUGCAGUGAUUUUGGAGCCCAGAAAAAUAGUCAGCCACUGUUUCCACUGUUUCCCCAUCUAUUUGCCAUGAAGUGAUGGGACCAGAUGCCAUGAUCUUCGUUUUCUGAAAGUUGAGCUUUAAGCCAACUUUUUCACUCUCCUCUUUCACUUUCAUCAAGACGCUCUUUAGUUCUUCUUCACUUUCUGCCAUAAGGGUGGUGUCAUCUGCAUAUCUGAGGUUAUUGAUAUUUCUCCCGGCAAUCUUGAUUCCAGCUUGUAUUUCUUCCAGUCCAGCAUUUCUCAUGAUGUACUCUGCAUAGAAGUUCAAUAAGCAGGGUGACAAUAUACAGCCUUGACGUACUCCUUUUCCUAUUUGGAACCAGUCUGUUGUUCCAUGUCCAGUUCUAACUGUUGCUUCCUGACCUGCAUACAGAUUUCUCAAGAGGCAGGUCAGGUGGUCUGGUAUUCCCCUCUCUCUCAGAAUUUUCCAGUUUAUUGUGAUCCAUCCACACAGUCAAAGGCUUUGGCAUAGUCAAUCAAGCAGAAAUAGAUGUUUUUCUGGAGCUCUCUUGCUUUUACCAUG
ensembl:lncRNA